UCUCAUCUCACAUAAGGCAAACUGUGAGUGGUGAUCUCAUCGAGCUAAGAACCGAGGGUUAUAGAGGAGAAGAACCUGAGCGUGGCUCAUCGUUUGAGCGUUGGAUCGUUGUCAUUCCGCAUAAAGAACGAGGGAUUCCAAAUUAGGUACGCAAACCUUUGUAUACUCCUCCUACAUGUUCGGUUUUCUAGCUACGUCGAUCCUGGGAAGCCACUUAGGCGGCCAACACAGCUAACUGCAUUUGUGAAAAUCGUCGAGGAGCACAACGAUCAGCUCUCAAAGAAAGUUCAGUCUGUGGUGAACAACAUUAGAAAAUAUGAACCUGUGGACCCGGGCCUUAUGAGGAGAAGUUAGCCUCGGCGUAUAGAUGAAUGCAGCAGAUGGCGGCAGGAGAGCGACAGGAGCUGUACAUACAUGUUGUCGCAUGUGCAAUCCAAGGGCUUCUACACGAGGGUUGAUGAUUAAUGAUCGCUAGGCAAUCAGCAAGAGAUGAUUAACCUGAAAGUACGAGUAUAUUGGUCAUCGGAAGAUUUCACGGCCGUCGGCAGUGGCUGUACCGCACGCUUUAUGUAGUGAUGGAGAGCAGUCAUAUUGUGCUUUUGAUCAUGGAAACAGGGCGAUUGGAGCCGACGGUUGCCUGGUCGGAAUGAGUCCUCUAGACUUGAUGACCAUGUGAUUAAUGGUCAAGAGGCAUAUUAUACAGUUCGAUAUGUUCCGAGGGGAAAAAAUAGCAAAUUAAAAGAUUUCGUUAAAUUAUUUUAAACUGAUCUUUUUUUUUCAAGGAGUAGUUUCAGAUAUUUCUAUCUCGAUCUGUAAUGAAAAUGUGGACGUUUAAUCAUUGCAUUUGAUGAUAUUUAUCUUAA